rnacentral:lncRNA from 1 species
UUAAAUGGCAGACAGUGACUUGGAUACUGUAACUCAGCCGAAGAUUAAACCUUUCUUGGCCAUUCUUUGUUCGCCUCGACUUUCUCCUAGGCGGUUAUUUUAAAUCCUCUUCAGCGGCUGUCAUGACUCGUCGGAGGGCUUCGUUGCUAUCUCCACCUCCGUUCUCUAUCCCCGAUCAAAAUGGUCGGUAUCGAAAAGGGUAGCUUUCACGGUCGAUGAAUCGGUCUCCAAGCGGAGAUUUUCGAUAAUGGUGGUGGCGACAGCAGUAACGGACAAGACGAAGGAGUCUAAUACUUCCCGGAACUGUCGAAUUGUUAUCGGGACGGCACGUCGCCGGCUUCGGAAGAAGGUUAUUGGCGUCUUUUUUUUUUCUUUUCUUCUUCUUCUAUUUUUUGCCUAAUCUGGAUAUUGGUAGUUAUUCUUUCUUAUAUCUGUUCAUCGAUCUAUGUUGUUAUUCGACUACUUCGGUUAAUUCAUCGAUCCAUCGACUCACCUCUUUAAUUAAUUCGUAAGUUUGUAAUUAUCCCUAAAUUUGAAGACCUAGGGUUUAAAUAUGUGAACUUUAUUGAAAUUUUCUUUUGGGUAUUCAAUUUGAAAGUUUGGAGGUUGUGUUUUUGUAAUUUAUGUUAAAAUCUUGCAUUGCUUCGGCAGUAUAUGGGUUGUUUUCUGUUUUUAUAAAGUUAGGGCUUUUGAUCAUUGUGAGGAUUAAAGCAAUUGAAGUAUGAACAUUCAUAGCCCUUGGGAAGAGGAUAGUUAGGGUUUUUGGCUUUUGGAGAAAUUGUUUAGACUUCAAUGGGGGAUGGCAGCGUUGCAUAUAUUCCUUCGUAGCAUAUUAUGGAGCAAUUUUCUAUUUUUCC